AUACGGAGGAUCCAAGCGUUAUCCGGAUUUAUUGGGUUUAAAGGGUGCGCAGGCGGCCAUUUAAGUCAGCGGUUAAAUCGUGGGGCUCAACCCCAUUCUGCCGUUGAUACUGGGUGGCUUGAUUGCGGUCGAGGUUGGCGGAAUUCGUUGUGUAGCGGUGAAAUGCAUAGAUAUGACGAAGAACACCGAUUGCGUAGGCAGCUGACCAGACCGCAAAUGACGCUCAUGCACGAAAGUACGGGGAUCGAACAGGAUUAGAUACCCUGGUAGUCCGCACAGUAAACGAUGAAUACUUGUUUUCGGCGAUAUAAUGUCGGAGGCAAAGCGAAAGCGAUAAGUAUUCCACCUGGGGAGUACGCCGGCAACGGUGAAACUCAAAUGAAUUGGCGGGG
rnacentral:rRNA from 1 species